rnacentral:rRNA from 1 species
AUUGAACGAUUGCGGCAGUCCUAACACAUGCAAGUCGAACGAGUGGCGGACGGGUGAGUAAUGUCUGGGAAACUGCCUGAUGGAGGGGGAUAACUACUGGCAACGGUAGCUAAUACCGCAUACCAUCAGAUGUGCCCAGAUGGGAUUAGCUUGUUGGUGGGGUACCGGCUCACCAAGGCGACGUUCCCUAGCUGCUCUGUGAGGAUGACCAGCCACACUGGAACUGAGACAAGGUCCCGACUCCUACGGGAGUCAGCAGUGGGAAGUAUUGCAGAAUGGGCGCAAGCCUGAUGAAGACAAACAGCGUGUAUAAAGAAGGCCUUCGGGUUGUAAAGUACUUUCAGCGGGAAGGCGUUACCCGCAGAAGAAGCACCGGCUAACUCCGUGCCAGCCGCCGCGGGCAUAC